CUCUUCGCUCUCGUUCUUCGAACAAACACCUUUAAACCGCCUUCUAACCCCUCUUUCUUCUUUUUCAGCCAUGCGUGAGGCUAUCUGCAUCCACAUCGGCCAGGCCGGCUGCCAGGUCGGUAACGCGUGCUGGGAGCUGUUCUGCCUUGAGCACGGCAUCCAGCCUGAUGGCUCCAUGCCCUCUGACAAGUGCAUCGGUGUUGAGGAUGACGCGUUCAACACGUUCUUCUCGGAGACUGGUGCUGGCAAGCACGUUCCUCGCUGCAUCUUCCUGGACCUCGAGCCUACGGUCGUGGAUGAGGUGCGCACCGGCACGUACCGCCAGCUGUUCAACCCCGAGCAGCUGGUGUCCGGCAAGGAGGAUGCGGCGAACAACUACGCUCGUGGCCACUACACCAUCGGCAAGGAGAUCGUCGACCUUGCGCUGGACCGCAUUCGCAAGCUGGCGGACAACUGCACGGGCCUCCAGGGCUUUAUGGUGUUCCACGCUGUGGGUGGCGGCACCGGCUCUGGCCUCGGUGCGCUGCUGCUGGAGCGCCUGUCUGUGGACUACGGCAAGAAGUCCAAGCUUGGCUACACCGUGUACCCGAGCCCGCAGGUGUCGACUGCCGUCGUGGAGCCGUACAACUGCGUGCUGUCGACGCACUCGCUGCUCGAGCACACCGAUGUUGCGACGAUGCUCGACAAUGAGGCCAUCUACGACCUCACUCGUCGUUCUCUCGACAUUGAGCGCCCGUCGUACACGAACGUGAACCGCCUGAUCGGCCAGGUGGUGUCGUCUCUGACGGCGUCGCUGCGCUUCGAUGGUGCGCUGAACGUGGACCUGACGGAGUUCCAGACGAACCUUGUGCCGUACCCGCGCAUCCACUUCGUGCUGACGAGCUAUGCUCCGGUGGUGUCUGCCGAGAAGGCGUACCACGAGCAGCUGUCCGUCGCGGACAUCACGAACUCGGUGUUUGAGCCUGCUGGCAUGCUGACGAAGUGCGAUCCUCGCCACGGCAAGUACAUGUCGUGCUGCCUCAUGUACCGCGGUGAUGUCGUGCCGAAGGAUGUCAACGCCGCGAUUGCGACGAUCAAGACGAAGCGGACAAUUCAGUUCGUGGACUGGUGUCCGACCGGCUUCAAGUGCGGCAUCAACUACCAGCCGCCGACCGUUGUGCCCGGCGGUGACCUCGCGAAGGUGCAGCGCGCCGUGUGCAUGAUUGCCAACUCGACCGCGAUCGCUGAGGUGUUUGCCCGCAUCGACCACAAGUUCGACCUGAUGUACAGCAAGCGCGCGUUCGUGCACUGGUACGUGGGUGAGGGCAUGGAGGAGGGCGAGUUCUCCGAGGCGCGCGAGGAUCUCGCUGCGCUGGAGAAGGACUACGAGGAGGUUGGCGCUGAGUCCGCCGACGACAUGGGUGAGGAGGACGUCGAGGAGUACUAAGGUACACUCGUGCCGCGCGCUGAUGUUGUAGGUGCACGCGCGCGUGUGCUGCAGCGGGGCCGCCGCCACUGCGACUGUGUGUGUGCGCGUGACGGCCGGCACGAGGAAGGAGGAGCGCGCGUGUGCGUGCGAUGCGCCUCCUCUUUUUUUUUUUCGCCCUCGUCGGUGUUUUUUUUUUCUGAGAGGACGGCGGGGCGGAUGGCGGGCGGCGGUGCUGACGGAGCGGCCACACUUUGCACCUCCCCGCCCUCCGCCGUCUCUCCGUUCGCCGUCCUCUCCUUCCUCGUGCGUGCGUCUGCCGCGCAUGCACACGCGCGCGCGUUGCCGUAGCGCUGUGUAUCUGUGGAGGGGGGCCUUGUCUCUCCCUCCCCGUGGUUGAUAGAUGAAGAGAAAGAAAAGGAGAGAGCAGUGCGCAUGUGCGCGCGUGUGUGCCUCCGCUCCCUGGAGCUCCCCACGAGUCCCCUCCGCCACGCACCUGCGAGCCUGCACAGCGGCCCACCCGCCCGCACACGUGAGCAGAGGUGGGUGGGUGGAGCGGGUGAUGUCGGCGCGCACACGCGCGCGCGCUGACCACUCCGACGUGAAAACACGGACGAGCGAGACUGGCAAGGCAAGGCAGGAAUCUGAUCACGUGUGCGCGCACACAAACGGAAUGAGCAGCUCCUGAAGAGACGAUGGGGCUCAUGCACACAGACACGCACGCGCACACUCCUCCGUCUUCACGGAGCGCGGCCCUGCUGCUGCUGCUGCUGCUGCCGCCAUGUGCCGGACGUCUGCCACGCGUGUCUUCCCCACACCUUGCUCUUUCCCUCCCCCCUCCCCUCCCCUCCUGGCGAACACAAAACAUGCGCGAUGCACACACGCGCACGCCCACCGAAAAAAAAAAACGCGCAG
rnacentral:misc_RNA from 1 species